UUGGUGCCUUCGGGAACUGUGAGACAGGUGCUGCAUGGCUGUCGUCAGCUCGUGUUGUGAAAUGUUGGGUUAAGUCCCGCAACGAGCGCAACCCUUAUCCUUUGUUGCCAGCGGUUCGGCCGGGAACUCAAAGGAGACUGCCAGUGAUAAACUGGAGGAAGGUGGGGAUGACGUCAAGUCAUCAUGGCCCUUACGACCAGGGCUACACACGUGCUACAAUGGCAUAUACAAAGAGAAGCGACCUCGCGAGAGCAAGCGGACCUCAUAAAGUAUGUCGUAGUCCGGAUUGGAGUCUGCAACUCGACUCCAUGAAGUCGGAAUCGCUAGUAAUCGUAGAUCAGAAUGCUACGGUGAAUACGUUCCCGGGCCUUGUACACACCGCCCGUCACACCAUGGGAGUGGGUUGCAAAAGAAGUAGGUAGCUUAACCUUCGGGAGGGCGCUUACCACUUUGUGAUUCAUGACUGGGGUGAAGUCGUAACAAGGUAACCGUAGGGGAACCUGCGGUUGGAUCACCUCCUUACCUUAAAGAA
rnacentral:rRNA from 3 species